rnacentral:rRNA from 1 species
AGGUAACCUACCCUCAGGACUGAGAUAACCCCGGGAAACUGGGGCUAAUAUUAGAUAGAUAAAAGAUACUGGAAUGUUCUUUUAUCCAAAGCUUUUGCGCCUGAGGAUGGGCCUGCGUCCGAUUAGGUCGUUGGUGGGGUAAUGGCCCACCAAGCCUGCGAUCGGUACGGGCAGUGGAAGCUGAAGCCCGGAGUUGGGGACUGAGACAAGGCCCCAGGCCCUACGGGGCGCAGCAGGCGCGAAACCUCUGCAAUGCGGGAAACCGUGACAGGGGGAUCCCAAGUGCUCAUGCAUUGCAUGGGCUGUUCUUUGGUCUAAGUAACCAGAGGAGUAAGGGCUGGGCAAGACCGGUGCCAGCCGCCGCGGUAAUACCGGCAGCUCAAGUGGUAGCCGCGAUUAUUGGGCCUAAAACGUUCGUAGCCGGAUAAGUAAGUCUUUGGUUAAAUCCUGCGACUCAACCGUGGGAAUUCUAGAGAUACUGCUCGUCUUGAGACCGGGAGAGGUUGGAGGUACUCCUAGGGUAGGGGUGAAAUCCUGUAAUCCUAGGGGGACCACCUGUGGCGAAGGCGUCCAACUGGAACGGGUCUGACGGUGAGGGACGAAACCUGGGGGAGCGAGCCGGAUUAGAUACCCGGGUAGUCCUAGGCGUAAAUGAUGCGAGUUAAGUGUGGGGGCAUCUACGAGAUGGCCCUGUGCUGUAGGGUAGCCGUUAAACUCGCUGCCUGGGGAGUACGGUCGCAAGGCUGAAACUUAAAGGAAUUUGGCGGGGGAGCACCACAAGAGGUGGAGGCUGCGGUUCAAUUGGACUCAACGCCGGAAAACUCAUCGGGAGCGACAGCAGUAUGAUUGCCAGGUUGAUGACCUUGCUUGACAAGCUGAGAGGUGGUUGCAUGGC